rnacentral:rRNA from 1 species
UUCUAAGGGCGGUGAAGUCAGACCGGAAGGACUGGUGGAGCGCUUAGAAGUGAGAAUGCCGGUAUGAGUAGCGAAAGAAGGGUGAGAAUCCCUUCCACCGAAUAUCUAAGGUUUCCUGAGGAAGGCUCGUCCGCUCAGGGUUAGUCGGGACCUAAGCCGAGGCCGAUAGGCGUAGGCGAUGGACAACAGGUAGAGAUUCCUGUACCAGUGCUAAUUGUUUAACCGAUGGGGUGACACAGAAGGAUAGGGAAUCGCACGAAUGGAAAUGUGCGUCCAAGCAGUGAGUGUGAGAAGUAGGCAAAUCCGCUUCUCGCGAAGCAUGAGCUGUGAUGGGGAAGGAAAUUAAGUACGGAAGUUCCUGAUUUCACGCUGUCAAGAAAAGCCUCUAGGAAGAGUAGUACUGCCCGUACCGCAAACCGACACAGGUAGAUGAGGAGAGAAUCCUAAGGUGAGCGAGAGAACUCUCGUUAAGGAACUCGGCAAAAUGACCCCGUAACUUCGGGAGAAGGGGUGCUCUAUUAGGGUGCAAGCCCGAGAGAGCCGCAGUGAAUAGGCCCAGGCGACUGUUUAGCAAAAACACAGGUCUCUGCAAAACCGUAAGGUGACGUAUAGGGGCUGACGCCUGCCCGGUGCUGGAAGGUUAAGAGGAGUGCUUAGCUUCGGCGAAGGUACGAAUUGAAGCCCCAGUAAACGGCGGCCGUAACUAUAACGGUCCUAAGGUAGCGAAAUUCCUUGUCGGGUAAGUUCCGACCCGCACGAAAGGCGCAACGAUCUGGGCACUGUCUCAACGAGAGACUCGGUGAAAUUAUAGUACCUGUGAAGAUGCAGGUUACCCGCGACAGGACGGAAAGACCCCGUGGAGCUUUACUGCAACCUGAUAUGGAAUGUUUGUACCGCUUGUACAGGAUAGGUAGGAGCCGAAGAGACGUGUGCGCUAGCAUACGAGGAGGCAAUGGUGGGAUACUACCCUGGCUGUAUGACCAUUCUAACCCGCCACGCUUAGCGCGUGGGGAGACAGUGUCAGGUGGGCAGUUUGACUGGGGCGGUCGCCUCCUAAAGAGUAACGGAGGCGCCCAAAGGUUCCCUCAGAAUGGAUGGAAAUCAUUCGCAGAGUGUAAAGGCACAAGGGAGCUUGACUGCGAGACUGACAAG